AUGACUUUAUUUAGUGAUGAAUCCACUAUUUCGGAAGAGGUUUCAAUUGAUUAUGAUGAGAACAAAGUUGCUACUUAUGAUGAUUAUUGUGAUGAAACUUAUGCUAUAAAAAGUAGUGAUGAUUAUAUUUAUAAAAAUUGUCAUGAUUAUGAUUACCCUUUUUCUAGACAUUACUCUUUUAAUAUGGAAACAAUUUAUAGUAUUCGAGUUUCUUAUGAUACUCCCACUAUUCCGAAUGAGAAGAAUUUUGCUUAUGUGAAGAGUAAUAGAAUUUAUAUGCUUGUGGUUCAUGAAAAGAAUGCUUUAUGUGAUGGUUAUAUUGUUGAAUUUAUUCAUGAUGCUACUGAAAACUAUUAUGAGGGAGGAAUACAUGCUUGUAGGAAUUGCAAUAAUAUCAAGUUUCCUCUCUAUGUGCUUAAAGUUUUGAAGUUAUGCUUGUUUUGUCUUCCUAUGCUAGUUGAUUAUUGUUCCCAUAAGUUGUUUGCUCACAAAAUCCCUAUGCAUAGGAAGUGGGUUAGACUUAAAUGUGCUAGUCAUAUUCUUCAUGAUGCUCUCUUUAUGUCUCCAACGUAUCUAUAA
rnacentral:rRNA from 1 species